rfam:Stomoxys calcitrans breed 8C7A2A5H3J4 unplaced genomic scaffold Scaffold532, whole genome shotgun sequence.
UCGAAGGCCCUUUUCAGGGCCACAAAAUACUAUUAAAAAAGAGACUU